GGCAAACGGGUGAGUAACACGUGGGUGACCUGCCUUCGAGUGGGGGAUAACGUCCCGAAAGGGACGCUAAUACCGCAUGACAUCCUGCCUUUUAAGAGGCGGUGAUCAAAGCUGGGGAUCGCAAGACCUAGCGCUUGAAGAGGGGCCCGCGUCCGAUUAGCUGGUUGGUAGGGUAAUGGCUCACCAAGGCAACGAUCGGUAGCCGGCCUGAGAGGGCGGACGGCCACACUGGGACUGAGACACGGCCCAGACUCCUACGGGAGGCAGCAGUAGGGAAUUGUUCGCAAUGGGCGCAAGCCUGACGACGCAACGCCGCGUGGAGGAUGAAGAUCUUCGGGUCGUAAACUCCUUUCGAUCGAGACGAAUGGCCUCCGGGUGAACAAUCCGGAGGAGUGACGGUACCGAGAGAAGAAGCCCCGGCUAACUCCGUGCCAGCAGCCGCGGUAAUACGGGGGGGGCAAGCGUUGUGCGGAAUUACUGGGCGUAAAGGGCUCGUAGGCGGCCAACUAAGUCGGACGUGAAAUCCCUCGGCUUAACCGGGGAACUGCGUCUGAUACUGGAUGGCUUGAGAUUGGGAGAGGGAUGCGGAAUUCCAGGUGUAGCGGUGAAAUGCGUAGAUAUCUGGAGGAACACCGGUGGCGAAGGCGGCAUCCUGGACCAACACUGACGCUGAGGAGCGAAAGCCAGGGGAGCAAACGGGAUUAGAUACCCCGGUAGUCC
rnacentral:rRNA from 1 species